rnacentral:rRNA from 1 species
CAGCCGCCGCGGUGAAACGUAGGUCCCGAGCGUUGUCCGGAUUUAUUGGGCGUAAAGCGAGCGCAGGCGGAUCAGUUGGUCUGUCUUAAAAGUUCGGGGCUUAACCCCGUGAUGGGAUGGAAACUGCUGAUCUAGAGUAUCGGAGAGGAAAGUGGAAUUCCUAGUGUAGCGGUGAAAUGCGUAGAUAUUAGGAAGAACACCAGUGGCGAAGGCGACUUUCUGGACGAAAACUGACGCUGAGGCGCGAAAGCUAGGGGAGCGAACGGGAUUAGAUACCCGUGUAGUCCCUGUCUCUUAUACA